rnacentral:rRNA from 1 species
CCUACGGGAGGCUGCAGUGAGGAAUAUUGGUCAAUGGGCGCGAGCCUGAACCAGCCAAGUAGCGUGAAGGAUGACUGCCCUACGGGUUGUAAACUUCUUUUAUAAAGGAAUAAAGUGAGGCACGUGUGCCGUUUUGUAGGUACUUUAUGAAUAAGGAUCGGCUAACUCCGUGCCAGCAGCCGCGGUAAUACGGAGGAUCCGAGCGUUAUCCGGAUUUAUUGGGUUUAAAGGGAGCGUAGGUGGGUUGUUAAGUCAGUUGUGAAAGUUUGCGGCUCAACCGUAAAAUUGCAGUUGAAACUGGCAUGCUUGAGUACAGGAGAGGUGGGCGGAAUUCGUGGUGUAGCGGUGAAAUGCUUAGAUAUCACGAAGAACUCCGAUUGCGAAGGCAGCUCACGGCACUGCAACUGACACUGAGGCUCGAAAGUGUGGGUAUCAAACAGGAUUAGAUACCCGUGUAGUC